UACGUAGGGUGCGAGCGUUGUCCGGAAUUAUUGGGCGUAAAGGGCUCGUAGGCGGUCUGUUGCGUCGGGAGUGAAAACUCAGGGCUUAACCCUGAGCCUGCUUCCGAUACGGGCAGACUAGAGGUAUGCAGGGGAGAACGGAAUUCCUGGUGUAGCGGUGAAAUGCGUAGAUAUCGAGAGGAACACCUGCGGCGAAGGCGGGUUGCUGGGCUGACACUGACGCUGAGGCGCGAAAGCUAGGGGAGCGAACGGG
rnacentral:rRNA from 1 species